GACAAACCUUGUGGUGUCUUUUUACAGCAUAUGGUGACUGACAGGUAUUUUUAGUCUUUCUGUUUAUUUAUUUUUAGGAAUAAUGCACGUUAUCUCUGGAAAAGAUUCCCUCCUGCUAUCAAAUCUGCAAAUGCUGAACUCGGUGCAGUUCGCUCAGUGGGACAAAGAAUCUGGCAGAGGGACUUCCCAGGAAUCUACGCAGCAAUCAGUGCACAUCAGUGGUCUGAGACUAUCCAGCCAAUCAUGGAAGCACUCAGAGAUGCAAGCAGGAGACGAGCCUUUGGACUGGUUUCCCAGGCUUAGACGUCAAUAG
rnacentral:lncRNA from 1 species